GACGAACGCUGGCGGCGUGCUUAACACAUGCAAGUCGAACGCUGAAGACCUGGCUUUUGUUGGGUUGGAUGAGUGGCGAACGGGUGAGUAACACGUGAGUAACCUGCCCUCUUCUUUGGGAUAACGCCCGGAAACGGGUGCUAAUACUGGAUAUUCACUGAUCUUCGCAUGGGGGUUGGUGGAAAGGUUUGUUCUGGUGGGGGAUGGGCUCGCGGCCUAUCAGCUUGUUGGUGGGGUGAUGGCCUACCAAGGCUUUGACGGGUAGCCGGCCUGAGAGGGUGACCGGUCACAUUGGGACUGAGAUACGGCCCAGACUCCUACGGGAGGCAGCAGUGGGGAAUAUUGCACAAUGGGCGAAAGCCUGAUGCAGCGACGCCGCGUGAGGGAUGGAGGCCUUUGGGUUGUAAACCUCUUUCGCUCAUGGUCAAGCCGCAACUGUGGGUUGUGGUGAGGGUAGUGGGUAAAGAAGCGCCGGCUAACUACGUG
rnacentral:rRNA from 1 species